UCCUGCCAGUAGUCAUAUGCUUGUCUCAAAGAUUAAGCCAUGCACGUCUAAGGAUAAAUAUUAUUUAACCAUAAAACCUGCGAAAGGCUCAUUAAAAUCAGUAAUAAUCUAUUCUAUUAUUUAAUCCUAUUUGGAUAACUGUAGUAAUUCUAGAGCUAAUACAUGCAAAAAACCUGGACUUUACAGAACAGGUUUACUUAUUAGACUUUAAAACCGAUUACAAUUUAUUGUAAAUUUAAAAUGAAUUAAAAUAAGUUUAUGAAUCGCAGAUCAUUUUGUGAUGAUAAGAAUGAAUUUCUGCCCUAUCAACUUUCGAUGGUAAUGUAGUGGAUUACCAUGGUGAUGACGGGUAACGGGGAAGUUAGGGUUUGAUUCCGGAGAAAAAGGCCUGAGAGACGGCCAUUACUUCUAAGGAAGGCAGCAGGCGCGUAAAUUACCCCAAUCCUAAUACGGGGAGGUAGUGUACAAGAAAUAUUGAUAUUGGACCCAAAGGGUACAAUGAUUGAAAUGAGAACAAUAUAAAAAACUUAACGACUAACAAUUGAGGG
rnacentral:rRNA from 1 species